CACACAUACAGUGCUGUCACACACUGUCUGCCGAUGAGCUCUGUCAUGCAGUCGUUUCUCUCUCCAGUGAACAAGGCUAUUCUAGUAGCUCUGUUCAUCUUCGCCAUCCUCCUCAUCCUCUAUGUGAUCCUCUGGUACAUCUGUAGAGACGUGGACUGCGACCACGGUAUCUGAUCUGAUUAACACCGGGAACACCACCGAAAAAACGUAACCGUGGAUAGAGACCCGUCUGAAAGAGGGUCACCCUGAGCUGCCCAGACAACAUGGCAGAGUUGGUAUAGUGACGGGAGGCAUCAGUGGAAUCUGCUUUGAGACCGCAAGACACAUGGCCAGCCUGGGGGCACACUUUAUCAUAGCUGGCCAGCAGGAGCGGGAGGGUGUGUCUGCUGUGAAGAGGAUUCGUGAGGAGAACAGAGAGGCCAAAGGUCACAGUCCCCACAACCCUGUUUGGUUUUGUGUGGCUCUGGAUAUUACUGAUUGGCUGGAGAGUGAACACACCUUUUCAAAGUUCUGUAAACAGCUGAGGGAUGAGUGUAACGGCUGUUGGAAGGAGUGGAGGACCAACGUGCAGCGUGAGGCUGAAUAGAAGAGGGUUCCCAGUGAGCUCAUGUGCAGUGGACCCUGGGAUGGUCGACAGGUCGCUCUACCGCCACCUCUUCCCCCCCGGUCGUCUUGCACAGACAGCCAUCACACGCCUACUCUUUAGGAGCCCGUCCCAGGGAGUGUCUAUGGUCCUCAACACUGCUCUGUCUCCGUCUCUGGAAGGGGAGAGAGGGGGCUACUGGAGCAACGGACGCACAGAGAUGUCAACACUAAACACCUACAACCCCAGGCUCCAGCUCGGCCUCUGGGACUUCAGCUGCAGACUAGUGAGCUUGCAGGAGCAGCACCAACCAUGACCCCUGACCUCUAACCCCUGAGCUCUUAGUCCAUGACCCUGACACCAUCACUGUAUGGCUGAGACCCAACAUCUCAUCUGUCAUCCUGCCAUUAUCUUUGUUUUCACAAUCUCGUCACCGCCAGACUGUGAUUGGAUAAAGACUGAUGACCAAGGCUGGACUGUGAUUGGUUAGUGAAGCGGUAAGACCUGUUGCAUACUCUUCAGAUGAAUGGGCUGAUGAAAAUGAACCAACCUUCUCCCUCAGGCACUGUGAACCCACACACACUGUGUUAUGAGUGUUUAUAGUGCUGCUAUGAGUGGUCAUAGUGACCUCUUGAAAAUAUAUAGCAACCUUAUGCCGGUUGGUACACAGAUCAGAACAGAAAGAACCUUCCCUCCAUGGGAAAACUUUAUUUAAUCAUAAACAAGUGUCAUCAGUGUGUGUAUGUGUCCGUAUCAGUUAUCAGUGUGUGUGAGUGAUUCUGUCAGUAGCAUCCUGUGUCUAUGAAACAUAUCCUGAUCCCUGCCUGACUGGAUGGUCCAGGACCAAGGAACAAGCCGGCAUGGCAAUAACAUCAGUAAAUCACAGCCUGAAACUGAUAUUUUCAGUUCUUGUGAAAGCAAGCAAAAGGUAUUUUGUGUAAUUUUCCCCAACGCUGUGGGUUACUUCCCCAGGGAGCCAACACCGUCUGAGAGAAUGAAUGCUUUUAGAUUGUGUCCUACCUGCUGGGCUGUGAGUCACACACUGUUUCAUGGUGUUUGUCCGCCUUUGUUACUGUUCGUGAUGUUUUAUCAAUACAUAUAUAUCACCUCUCUCAAUACAUCAUGUUGCUGUGUGUGUUUCUGGGCACAGUAUGUAUGUAUGUGUGUGUGUGUCUCUCAGUGUGCACUGUUGGGGGUUUCUUACAGUCAUUGGUUUGUAUGCAUCAGUGGCGGUUCUAGCUUGUAUGGCUCAA